AGAACAGGAAAGCAGGAAGUGGUCCAGCAGACCAGUACAGCGACUCUGCUCUCCUUGACUCCCCUGAAUCAGAUGGUCGGAGGGUGAAGUCAACAGGAGAUGAAGCUGCACCUCCACAAGCUACAGAGCAGAGGAGCAGGAGACAGGGAGCAGAUGAGAUGUCUGCAUUCUUUGCCAGGCCGGUGAAGAUCCGCAAGAACAGAGUCCAGCCCAGCAUCUUUAAAAGAGCAGCACGGAAGAGGAGAGAGGAGGUGCGAGGAGCUGAGGAGGUGCAGGAGGAUGAGAAUACAGCUACAGAGCUUCCUGUUGACCAGAGAGUGGCAGAAAUAGUGGAGGAUGAAGAACUGAGCCACACAGACGGUCCUCUACACAGCACACAGCAGG